rnacentral:rRNA from 1 species
GCUAUUUAGGUUAGAGUUUGAUCAUGGCUCAGGACGAACGCUGGCGGCGUGCUUAACACAUGCAAGUCGAGCGGGCGUAGCAAUACGUCAGCGGCAGACGGGUGAGUAACGCGUGGGAACGUACCUUUUGGUUCGGAACAACACAGGGAAACUUGUGCUAAUACCGGAUAAGCCCUUACGGGGAAAGAUUUAUCGCCGAAAGAUCGGCCCGCGUCUGAUUAGCUAGUUGGUGAGGUAACGGCUCACCAAGGCGACGAUCAGUAGCUGGUCUGAGAGGAUGAUCAGCCACAUUGGGACUGAGACACGGCCCAAACUCCUACGGGAGGCAGCAGUGGGGAAUAUUGGACAAUGGGCGCAAGCCUGAUCCAGCCAUGCCGCGUGAGUGAUGAAGGCCCUAGGGUUGUAAAGCUCUUUUGUGCGGGAAGAUAAUGACGGUACCGCAAGAAUAAGCCCCGGCUAACUUCGUGCCAGCAGCCGCGGUAAUCG